UGCCAGCAGCCGCGGUAAUACGGAUGGUCCAAGCGUUGUCCGGAUUUACUGGGCGUAAAGCGCGCGUAGGCGGAUUGGAAAGUUGGGGGUGAAAUCCCGGGGCUCAACCCCGGAACUGCCUCCAAAACUGCCAGUCUAGAGUUCGAGAGAGGUGAGUGGAACUCCAAGUGUAGAGGUGAAAUUCGUAGAUAUUUGGAAGAACACCAGUGGCGAAGGCGGCUCACUGGCUCGAUACUGACGCUGAGGUGCGAAAGUGUGGGGAGCAAACAGGAUUAGAUA
rnacentral:rRNA from 1 species